rnacentral:rRNA from 1 species
ACCCGCUGAAUUUAAGCAUAUCAUUAUGCGGAGGAAAAGAAAUCAAAAGAGAUUCCUCGAGUAACGGCGAGUGAAAGGGGAGAAGCUCAGCGUGUAGCCUCGGGGAUGCCCUCCAAGUGAGUGUGUUAAUCCUACGAUGGGAUGCCACGUAUGGGAGAAUGCUAGAAAUGUCCGCGACCCGGCAAUCCGAACUGUUUGAUGAAACAUUGCCCGAAGAGGGUGUUAGGCCCGUAGGACCGUCGUUAGUCGUGACAUUUCGCGGCUUUCUCUCGAGAGUCGGGUUGUUUGAGAAUACAGCCUUAAGAGGUGGGAAACUCCAUCUAAAGCUAAAUAUUACUGCGAGACCGAUAGCGAACAAGUACCGUGAGGGAAAGUUGAAAAGGACUCUGAAGAGAGGGUUCAAGAGAGCGUGAAACUGCCGCGGGGAUAAAGCGGAUACAUUAGCGUAGUCGAAAAGGGAGAUACAACUCGUUGGCCGUCGACCUCUCGGUUUCGACGUCCGUAAGGAAUUACACCAGCGCGUUAUUCGCUUUCGCGUUAACGCGUCCAGGUUCUUGAUUCCCCUCGGCGUCGACCGGGUUUAGCGUACGUUCACUAACGAGUCUACUUCACACCUCAGUAGGCCGUCGCGACGGUCGGAAAGUUGUCUAAGGCUUGGAAGGUCGCGGGAACCUUUCGUCGCGAUCUGGAUUCUUUCAUUAGUUUCCUUAUCGCCGACGAUGGGGGACGCUUCCGUUGGAAUUUACUGGCGGACUUUUCGACCGGAGAAAUAAACGUCGAAUUAGCGAGCGCGUCAAAAACGCUCCUGUCGACGUAAGCGCGGCGCUUAUAGCGAUCAAUUUAUCCGUCCCGUCUUGAAACACGGACCAAGGAGUCUAACAUGUACGCGAGUCAAAGGGUCUACUAAACCCCUAGGCGUAAUGAAAGUAAACGCGGAUCGAUCCGAGCUCUUAUUUAUAAGACCGGCGCAAAUCCGGGACCCGUCUUACUGCUUUUCUUCGGAGAAGUUCACGUGGCGGGUACCUAGAGCGUACACGUUGGUACCCGAAAGAUGGUGAUCUAUGCUUGGCCGGGAUGAAGCCAGAGGAAACUCUGGUGGAGGUCCGUAGCGAUUCUGACGUGCAAAUCGUUCGUA